UACGGGGGGGGCAAGCGUUGUUCGGAAUUACUGGGCGUAAAGGGCUCGUAGGCGGCCAACUAAGUCGGAUGUGAAAUCCCCAGGCUUAACCUGGGAACUGCAUCCGAUACUGGAUGGCUUGAAUCCGGGAGAGGGAUGCAGAAUUCCAGGUGUAGCGGUGAAAUGCGUAGAUAUCUGGAGGAAUACCGGUGGCGAAGGCGGCAUCCUGGACCGGCAUUGACGCUGAGGGAGCGAAAGCCAGGGGAGCAAACGGG
rnacentral:rRNA from 1 species